rfam:Brachypodium distachyon strain Bd21 chromosome 3, whole genome shotgun sequence.
CUUUUACUUUCUUCGUCCGGAAAUAAGUGACUCGGAAUUGUCUAGAUUCGCAUGUAUCUAUACACUAAAACAUGUCUAUAUACAUACGAAUCAGGACAAAUCCGAGUCACUUAUUUCCAGACGGAGGGAGUAUAAU